GUACUUACCUGGCAGGGGCAAUACCAUGAUUAAGGAGGUGGUUUGCCCAAAGCGAUGCUCAGCCAUUGCACUCAGGCUUUGCUGACCUUUGCGAAUUCCCCAAAUGCGGGAAUCUCGACUGCAUAAUCAGUGAUAGUGGGGGAAUGUGUUCACACUCUCCCCUU